UUGAGGGAGCGGCAGUUAAGACUUGUAGUGAUGUUUAGAUAAUGUAUUACAUGAACAUCACUUUAAGUCUGUGCUACUUCUCUCCUCAUU
rnacentral:pre_miRNA from 7 species